GCCGAUGUAGCUCAGUUGGUAGAGCAAUACUUUCGUAAAGUAGAGGUCGUCGGUUCGAAUCCGACCAUCGGCUCCA
rnacentral:tRNA from 1 species